rnacentral:rRNA from 1 species
UACACUCCUGCGGGAGGCAGCAGUGGGGAAUUUUGGACAAUGGGCGAAAGCCUGAUCCAGCAAUGCCGCGUGUGUGAAGAAGGCCUUCGGGUUGUAAAGCACUUUUGUCCGGAAAGAAAUCCUUGGCUCUAAUACAGUCGGGGGAUGACGGUACCGGAAGAAUAAGCACCGGCUAACUACGUGCCAGCAGCCGCGGUAAUACGUAGGGUGCGAGCGUUAAUCGGAAUUACUGGGCGUAAAGCGUGCGCAGGCGGUUUGCUAAGACCGAUGUGAAAUCCCCGGGCUCAACCUGGGAACUGCAUUGGUGACUGGCAGGCUAGAGUAUGGCAGAGGGGGGUAGAAUUCCACGUGUAGCAGUGAAAUGCGUAGAGAUGUGGAGGAAUACCGAUGGCGAAGGCAGCCCCCUGGGCCAAUACUGACGCUCAUGCACGAAAGCGUGGGGAGCAAACAGGAUUAGAAACCCCGGUAGUCCC